rnacentral:rRNA from 1 species
CAGUCGAGCGAGUCUGCCUUGAAGAUCGGAGUGCUUGCACUCUGUGAAACAAGAUACAGGCUAGCGGCGGACGGGUGAGUAACACGUGGGUAACCUGCCCAAGAGAUCGGGAUAACACCUGGAAACAGAUGCUAAUACCGGAUAACAACAGAUGAUGCCUAUCAACUGUUUAAAAGAUGGUUCUGCUAUCACUCUUGGAUGGACCUGCGGUGCAUUAGCUAGUUGGUAGGGUAACGGCCUACCAAGGCGAUGAUGCAUAGCCGAGUUGAGAGACUGAUCGGCCACAUUGGGACUGAGACACGGCCCAAACUCCUACGGGAGGCAGCAGUAGGGAAUCUUCCACAAUGGACGCAAGUCUGAUGGAGCAACGCCGCAUGAGUGAAGAAGGGUUUCGGCUCGUAAAGCUCUGUUGUUGGUGAAGAAGGACAGGGGUAGUAACUGACCUUUGUUUGACGGUAAUCAAUUAGAAAGUCACGGCUAACUACGUGCCAGCAGCCGCGGUAAUACGUAGGUGGCAAGCGUUGUCCGGAUUUAUUGGGCGUAAAGCGAGUGCAGGCGGCUCGAUAAGUCUGAUGUGAAAGCCUUCGGCUCAACCGGAGAAUUGCAUCAGAAACUGUCGAGCUUGAGNNNNGAAGAGGAGAGUGGAACUCCAUGUGUAGCGGUGAAAUGCGUAGAUAUAUGGAAGAACACCGGUGGCGAAGGCGGCUCUCUGGUCUGUUACUGAC